rnacentral:rRNA from 1 species
GUGGGGAAUAUUGGACAAUGGGCGAAAGCCUGAUCCAGCCAUGCCGCGUGUGUGAAGAAGGUCUUCGGAUUGUAAAGCACUUUAAGUUGGGAGGAAGGGGUUGAAGCUAAUACCUUCAAUCUUUGACGUUACCAACAGAAUAAGCACCGGCUAACUCUGUGCCAGCAGCCGCGGUAAUACAGAGGGUGCAAGCGUUAAUCGGAAUUACUGGGCGUAAAGCGCGCGUAGGUGGUUUAGUAAGAUGGAAGUGAAAUCCCCGGGCUUAACCUGGGAACUGCUUUCAUAACUGCUGAGCUAGAGUACGGUAGAGGGUAGUGGAAUUUCCUGUGUAGCGGUGAAAUGCGUAGAUAUAGGAAGGAACACCAGUGGCGAAGGCGACUACCUGGACUGAUACUGACACUGAGGUGCGAAAGCGUGGGGAGCAAACAGGAUUAGAAACCCUAGUAGUCC